AGCGAACGCUGGCGGCAGGCCUAACACAUGCAAGUCGAACGAACCUUUCGGGGUUAGUGGCGGACGGGUGAGUAACACGUGGGAACGUGCCUUUAGGUUCGGAAUAACUCAGGGAAACUUGUGCUAAUACCGAAUGUGCCCUUCGGGGGAAAGAUUAAUCGCCUUUAGAGCGGCCCGCGUCUGAUUAGCUAGUUGGUUGAGGUAAUGGCUCACCAAGGCGACGAUCAGUAGCUGGUCUGGGAGGAUGAUCAGCCACAUUGGGACUGUGACAGGGCCCAAACUCCUACGGGAGGCAGCAGUGGGGAAUCUUGCGCAAUGGGCGAAAGCCUGACGCAGCCAUGCCGCGUGAAUGAUGAAGGUCUUAGGAUUGUAAAAUUCUUUCACCGGGGACGAUAAGGACGGUACCCGGAGAAGAAGCCCCGGCUAACUUCGU
rnacentral:rRNA from 1 species